UACGUAGGCAGCGAGCGUUGUUCGGAGUUACUGGGCGUAAAGAGUGCGUAGGCGGUUUUCUAAGUUUGGUGUGAAAUCUCCCGGCUCAACUGGGAGGGUGCGCCGAAGACUGGAAGGCUUGAGUAUGGGAGAGGUAAGCGGAAUUCCUGGUGUAGCGGUGAAAUGCGUAGAUAUCAGGAGGAACACCUGCGGUGUAGACGGCUUUCUGGACCAUUGUUGACGCUGAGACACGAAAGCGUGGGUAGCAAACAGG
rnacentral:rRNA from 1 species